rnacentral:rRNA from 1 species
GUAGGUGGCAAGCGUUGUCCGGAAUUAUUGGGGCGUAAAGCGCGCGCAGGCGGUUCUUUAAGUCUGAUGUGAAAGCCCACGGGCUCAACCGGUGGAGGGUCAUUGGAAACUGGAGAACUUGAGUACAGAAGAGGAAAGCGGAAUUCCACGUGUAGCGGUGAAAUGCGUAGAGAUGUGGAGGUACACCAGUGGCGAAGGCGGCUUUCUGGUCUGUAACUGACGCUGAGGCGCGAAAGCGUGGGGAGCAAACAGGAUUAGAUACCCUGGUAGUCCACGCCGUAAACGAUGAGUGCUAAGUGUUAGGGGGUUUCCGCCCCUUAGUGCUGCAGCUAACGCAUUAAGCACUCCGCCUGGGGAGUACGGCCGCAAAGGCUGA